UACGGAGGAUGCGAGCGUUAUCCGGAUUUAUUGGGUUUAAAGGGUGCGUAGGCGGUCCGUUAAGUCAGCGGUAAAAUUGCGGGGCUCAACCCCGUCGAGCCGUUGAAACUGGCAGACUUGAGUUGGCGAGAAGUACGCGGAAUGCGCGGUGUAGCGGUGAAAUGCAUAGAUAUCGCGCAGAACUCCGAUUGCGAAGGCAGCGUACCGGCGCCAGACUGACGCUGAGGCACGAAAGCGUGGGGAGCAAACAGG
rnacentral:rRNA from 1 species